rnacentral:lncRNA from 1 species
UUUAUGGGGAACCUCUGGGGAAGACUUUCAUCCAAAAACACUAUUGAUUUAACAGUUCCAGGAAUUACACAGCAAAAUAAACAAGAACUAAAUGCUUGCAUUGGCUUGAACAAAAGGAUUAUGCAAGAGAUCCCCCACACACACACCAAUUUCACUGCCUUUUUUAUAACUUCCUAUGAAGUCUGCUGACAGGCAGGAAUAUUUUAAAGGCCCUCAGAGAUGGAAGUGGCAGCAGAGUAAGCAGCUAGAACUUGCUUACAAAUUCAAAGCUCCUCUCCUGAAAGCUUUUGUGGACCAGCAUUUAUGACCAGUUAUGCUAUCUGCUACCUAUUGGAGGAGCAGAGCAAGAUGUGCCAGUUUUCACAGUUCAGCCCAUACACCUUAUUUUGUCUAAGUCAGGCUGGACUGGAGAUUCUGUGAAGGCUGAUCUGUUUCUGAAUCCUCCUUAUGCAUAGCACAUCCUCCUUAUGUUCAUCCUCCUGAGCCAGUCACAUCUGAACUCCAUUGAAC